GAAAAUCUGUGGAUAAGCACCUGAUUUCCACCGCCUUCUCUCCAGGACUCAGUCAGGUGUGGUCUGCCGCCUCGUCUCUGUAGUCAGUGGCGCCAUCUCAUUUCUUAAGGGUAGGUGCCGAGCUCUGGACCGUGUGCACUCAGAACCCUGACAUGCUGGGAUCCUGGCCCGGCGAGUCGUGUUCUUGGGGGACUUGUCACAGGAACAGUGGCUGAAAGCUACUUAAGGCCACUCGUGUUUCUUUCAUUUGUGUUUAUGUGUGUGCAUAUCUCUCACUUAUCAGGAAUGUUUUCAUUCUACUUACUGUAGCCUUUCUGAGGUUAAGCAGGUAUUUGGGUAAAUGUGUAGAACUCUGGAGUUGAAGGAAGAAGGGAGAAUCCUGAGCAGAUCCACUGUCAUUAGCACCCG
rnacentral:lncRNA from 1 species